rnacentral:rRNA from 1 species
ACUGGUGCCAGCAGCCGCGGUAAUUCCAGCUCCAAUAGCGUAUNUUAAAGUUGUUGCAGUUAAAAGCUCGUAGUUGAAUUUCGGGGUUAGUAGGUCGGUCAUGCCUCUGGUAUGUACUGGUCUCACUGAUUCCUCCUUCCUGAUGAACCGUAAUGCCAUUAAUUUGGUGUUGCGGGAAUUUGGACUGUUACUUUGAAAAAAUUAGAGUGUUUAAAGCAAGCUAACGCUUGAAUACAUUAGCAUGGAAUAAUGAAAUAGGACGUUCGAUCCUAUUUUAGUUGGUUUCUAGGGAUUGACGUAAUGAUUAAUAGGGAUAGUUGGGGGCAUUAGUAUUCAAUUGUCAGAGGUGAAAUUCUUGGAUUUAUUGAAGACUAACUACUGCGAAAGCAUUUGCCAAGGAUGUUUUCAUUAAUCAAGAACGAAAGUUAGGGGAUCAAAGACGAUCAGAUACCGUCGUAGUCUUAACCAUAAACUAUGCCGACUAGGGAUCGGAUGAUGUUAAUUUUUUAAUGACUCAUUCGGCGCCUUACG